CUGAUUUCAUGUCACUUUCAAAUUCCUCAACAAGCGGAUGUAUUUCUGGACUGCUAGCCAUCUGGCAUCUCAGCACUGAAGGAUUCUCCGUCAGCUCUGUUGCUUAAUCAUCCAUCACUGUGGACUAUGACAUUAUUUUGUUUAUGCACUUUGUUUAAACUUGUUGCUGCACAGAGGCCAUUUAUUUUAUGAACAAGCUGGCUAGAAUUGAAUGCACGAAGACUGUGUGCAUAUCCGAUUAAACAAGGAAGUGGAAGACAAUCUUGAUCGACUAAAGAACAAGCCACAACAGGCUCCGAGCCCAGAACUGGUUACUAUAACUAUUCCUGGCUCCUCACAGCCAUAUUUCAAAUAUGCUGAGAGAGGCAUCACUGAAUCAGUUCCCCUCCAACAUUUUAGCUCUGGCUAGAUGUUCAAGCCCCAAGAUGCUGUCUCUCCUAGCCUUCUUCAGAUUGGGUAGCCAUAAGCAGUCGUUCUAAAGGAGGCUCAGUCAUUCUCUAAGAAAUUCCUUAGAGCAUUCACUAAGAUUAGCUGCUUUACUCCUUCCUUUUCGGCCUCACUGUCCGUGCUGUGACCUAUUAUCUGGGUAGGUUGUCUAUCAGUCCUGGAUAUCUCUGUCUUUUAAAAACAAAAGCACAUUAGACAAAUCCAUGGAGGGUAGGUCCAUCAAAGGCUUUUGUUCAUGAUGACUAAAUGGAACCUCUUUGGAUGUAUGCCUGUUAGGAGGUUGUCAAACCUCUCCCUACCAGACCUGAGGGACUGCUGCUGGGAGAAGCCUUGGCCUUAGGGCUGCAUCUCAUUGGCCACUGUGUAAAGCAGGUUUCCAGCACCACCCUGUCCUGCUGAGGUCAUGGGAGCCAUGGGAUUUGAACCAGCAGAGCGCUGAUGUACAAUCCAGCCACUUAGCCACUAUGCUACAGUAGCUCUCAAUCAUGGCACCAUCUUUUCCGGAUUGUCACCCAGUCCAGAGAGCCUUUACCUUCUCUGAAAAAUUAGCAAGAGGACUUCAAGGUUCAGAAGAUAUUCCAGCCAAUACUUGAAUGUGGGUUCUCCAUGGACCACGUGGAACACUUGAAGCUCAGACUCCUGCCACAGUCUUCUUCAAUGGAAAACUGGUAAAGGGCUGCUGCAUUCCUUAGGCCUAGUUCACACAUGCAGGAAAAUGAAGUGGCAGAAUGGGCUGUACCACUAAAGGCUGCAGGCAGUGAAUGUUACCUCCAGCUUUGAAUGUCCUGUGCAUAAAAAAUCAUGCAAAUAGAAAGAUAGCAAAACAGGGAGUAAGGUUCUGCCCCUACCUUCCCGUGCUAAUUGUCAAAUUGCAGGGAGGGCAACAUUCCACAAUGUGACAUAUUCUGUAUAAAAAACAUCUGACGUGUCGUAUCCAGGGUCUGGGAUUGUGGCAUUCCUGGUAAGAUAAACAGGAAUCUUGUUGGAUCUUAAAGUUUUUGUUUUACCAUAAACUUUUACAGACUACAGCCUGUUUUAUCAGGUGUGUGCACUGUCUAUAAGGUUAGAAUUAAAAAUUUGUUAGUUUUUACGGUG